GUUUCCCUUUUAAGGGCGGAAAAGCUUUAACCCCAAAAUGGCUUCGGCCCCUGUCGCGUUACAGUCACUUCCGGGGCAGAUCGGAAGUUGCUUUGUUUUGCUUCGAGAUGGCUGCAGGGAUGUAUUUGGAACAUUAUCUGGACAGUAUUGAAAACCUUCCCUUUGAAUUACAGAGAAACUUUCAGCUCAUGAGGGACCUAGACCAAAGAACAGAGGACCUGAAGGCUGAAAUUGACAAGUUGGCCACUGAGUAUAUGAGUAGCGCCCGCAGCCUGAGCUCCGAGGAAAAAUUGGCCCUUCUCAAACAGAUCCAGGAAGCCUAUGGCAAGUGCAAGGAAUUUGGUGACGACAAGGUGCAGCUUGCCAUGCAGACCUAUGAGAUGGUGGACAAACACAUUCGGCGGCUGGACACAGACCUGGCCCGUUUUGAGGCUGAUCUCAAGGAGAAACAGAUUGAAUCAAGUGACUAUGACAGCUCUUCCAGCAAAGGCAAAAAGAAAGGCCGGACUCAAAAGGAGAAGAAAGCUGCUCGUGCUCGUUCCAAAGGGAAAAACUCAGAUGAAGAAGCCCCCAAGACUGCCCAGAAGAAGUUAAAGCUCGUGCGCACAAGUCCUGAGUAUGGGAUGCCCUCAGUGACCUUUGGCAGUGUCCACCCCUCUGAUGUGUUGGAUAUGCCUGUGGAUCCCAACGAACCCACCUAUUGCCUUUGUCACCAGGUCUCCUAUGGAGAGAUGAUUGGCUGUGACAACCCUGAUUGUUCCAUUGAGUGGUUCCAUUUUGCCUGUGUGGGGCUGACAACCAAGCCUCGGGGGAAAUGGUUUUGCCCACGCUGCUCCCAAGAACGGAAGAAGAAAUAGAUAAGGGCCCUGGAUUCCGACACAGUUUCUUCCACAUCCCCUGACUUGGGCUAGUGGGCAGAGGAAUGCCUGUGCUGGGGCCAGGGGUUCAGGGAGAAGUGGAUGGCACAGUACUGUCAUCCCUUCUCCUCCCCUCUCCCCACUCCCGGUGCUGAGGCUGCAUCAAACCCUGGUAGGGAGGGGUGCCGCAGCCACUAACGGUAUGUGCUCUCCUUCAGUCCUCUCCCUUCAAAGGGACGUGGUCUUGCCCACUGUCCUUUUGCCUCCAUGCUGAGGUUGGUGCUGUAUUUCAGAGGGAGGGUCCUUUUCAUUCCCCUUGCUUUGUACUUAAGGACUGGGGUAUAGCAUGGGGGCAGUCCCCUAGACCUCUUCAUUCCCCCUCCUCCUGUGGUGAGGGCUAGGUAUGAUCAACACUGUCUUCUCCAUUCCCUUCCUGCUUUUUUCAUGGUGGGGGAUCCCCCAGGUUAUCUAGGCUCUGGCCGUAGUUGAAGGGGAACCCCUUCCUCUGUGCCGAGAGGAUUCAUCCUGGCCUUGUGAAUGGGAGAGGGGGCAAGGUGGAAUGCAGAUAACUCACAUGUAAAAGGAACUUGGGGUCUUACUCUGUCACCCAGGCUGGAGCACAGUGGUGAGAUCUCAGCUCAGUGCAGCCUCGACCUCCGAAGACUCAGUGCUCAGCUCUAGACCUCACGACCUGUUGGGCAAAGACCUGAUUUCCCAUCUGUGAAACGAAUGAUAGUGUGUCCACCUUAUGGGAUUCCUAUGGCAAGUAAGGUAGUGCACGUAAAGAUGCUAAGUGGCUGCGUGCAGUGGCUUACACCUGUAAUCCUGUACUUUGGGAAGCCAAGGUGGGCAGAUCACCUGAGGUCAGCAGUUCCAGACCAGGCUGGCCAAAAUAAUGAAACCCUGUCUCUACUAAAAAU